CGUAGGGUCCGAGCGUUGUCCGGAGUUACUGGGCGUAAAGCGCGCGCAGGUGGUUCCCUAAGCCCGGCGUGAAAGCCCCCGGCUCAACCGGGGAGGGUCGUCGGGGACUGGAGAACUUGAGGGCGGCAGGGGCUGGUGGAAUCCCCGGUGUAGUGGUGAAAUGCGUAGAGAUCGGGGGGAACACCCGUGGCGAAGGCGGCCAGCUGGGCCGACCCUGACACUGAGGCGCGAAGGCGUGGGGAGCGAACGGGAUUAGAUACCCCGGUAGUCCACGCAGUAAACGAUGCCGACUGGGCGUGGGGGGACUUGACCCCCUCCGUGCCGGAGCCAACGCGGGAAGUCGGCCGCCUGGGGAGUACGGCCGCAAGGCUA
rnacentral:rRNA from 1 species